rnacentral:rRNA from 1 species
GAUGAACGCUGGCGGCGUGCCUAAUACAUGCAAGUCGAGCGAACAGACGAGGAGCUUGCUCCUCUGACGUUAGCGGCGGACGGGUGAGUAACACGUGGAUAACCUACCUAUAAGACUGGGAUAACUUCGGGAAACCGGAGCUAAUACCGGAUAAUAUAUUGAACCGCAUGGUUCAAUAGUGAAAGACGGUUUUGCUGUCACUUAUAGAUGGAUCCGCGCCGCAUUAGCUAGUUGGUAAGGUAACGGCUUACCAAGGCAACGAUGCGCAGCCGACCUGAGAGGGUGAUCGGCCACACUGGAACUGAGACACGGUCCAGACUCCUACGGGAGGCAGCAGUAGGGAAUCUUCCGCAAUGGGCGAAAGCCUGACGGAGCAACGCCGUGUGAGUGAUGAAGGUCUUCGGAUCGUAAAACUCUGUUAUUAGGGAAGAACAAAUGUGUAAGUAACUAUGCACGUCUUGACGGUACCUAAUCAGAAAGCCACGGCUAACUACGUG